rnacentral:rRNA from 1 species
AAUUCCAGCUCCAAUAGCGUAUAUUAAAGUUGGUUGCAGUUAAAAAGCUUCGUAGUUGGAUUUCUGGUCGGAGCGAUCGGUCCGCUCAUUCGGGGUGUGUACUUUGUGUCGUCUCCAGCCAUCCUUGAGGCGAGCUGUCCUGGCAUUGAGUUGUUGGGGCAGGGAACCUCAUCUUUUACUGUGAAAAAAUUAGAGUGUUUAAAGCAGGCUUACGCCGUUGAAUACAUUAGCAUGGAAUAAUAAGAUAGGACUUUGGUGGUCUAUUUUGUUGGUUUGCACACCGAAGUAAUGAUUAAGAGGGACAGUUGGGGGUAUUCGUAUUUAAUUGUCAGAGGUGAAAUUCUUGGAUUUCUGAAAGACGAACUACUGCGAAAGCAUUUACCAAGGAUGUUUUCAUUAAUCAAGAACGAAAGUUAGGGGAUCGAAGAUGAUUAGAUACCAUCGUAGUCUUAACCAUAAACUAUGCCGACUCGGGAUUGGCGGGCGUUAACUUUAUGACUCCGUCAGCACCGUAUGAGAAAUCAAAGUCUUUGGGUUCCGGGGGG